AACAGGAUUAGAUACCCUGGUAGUCCACGCCGUAAACGAUGUCGACUUGGAGGUUGUUCCCUUGAGGAGUGGCUUCCGGAGCUAACGCGUUAAGUCGACCGCCUGGGGAGUACGGCCGCAAGGUUAAAACUCAAAUGAAUUGACGGGGGCCCGCACAAGCGGUGGAGCAUGUGGUUUAAUUCGAUGCAACGCGAAGAACCUUACCUACUCUUGACAUCCACGGAAUUCGGCAGAGAUGCCUUAGUGCCUUCGGGAACCGUGAGACAGGUGCUGCAUGGCUGUCGUCAGCUCGUGUUGUGAAAUGUUGGGUUAAGUCCCGCAACGAGCGCAACCCUUAUCCUUUGUUGCCAGCGAUUCGGUCGGGAACUCAAAGGAGACUGCCGGUGAUAAACCGGAGGAAGGUGGGGAUGACGUCAAGUCAUCAUGGCCCUUACGAGUAGGGCUACACACGUGCUACAAUGGCGCAUACAAAGAGAAGCGACCUCGCGAGAGCAAGCGGACCUCAUAAAGUGCGUCGUAGUCCGGAUCGGAGUCUGCAACUCGACUCCGUGAAGUCGGAAUCGCUAGUAAUCGUGGAUCAGAAUGCCACGGUGAAUACGUUCCCGGGCCUUGUACACACCGCCCGUCACACCAUGGGAGUGGGUUGCAAAAGAAGUAGGUAGCUUAACCUUCGGGAGGGCGCUUACCACUUUGUGAUUCAUGACUGGGGUGAAGUCGUA
rnacentral:rRNA from 1 species